UACGUAGGUGGCAAGCGUUGUCCGGAUUUAUUGGGUUUAAAGGGUGCGUAGGCGGUCUUGUAAGUCAGUGGUGAAAUACGGCAGCUCAACUGUCGAGGUGCCAUUGAUACUGUAGGACUUGAGUACAGACGAGGUAGGCGGAAUUGACGGUGUAGCGGUGAAAUGCCUAGAUAUCGUCAAGAACACCGAUAGCGAAGGCAGCUUACUAGGCUGUAACUGACGCUGAGGCACGAAAGUGUGGGGAUCAAACAGG
rnacentral:rRNA from 1 species